rnacentral:lncRNA from 10 species
GAGGAGGGGUUUUCUUCAACAAACAAUUGCCAGGACGCACUUAACGGGAGUGGGAGCAAGCAGCAGAUUUCCCAGACAUGGAUCCCUGGGCAACCUCUCAAUCCUCCUUGUGGUGGGAUGGGGAAGGCGUUGAUCUGGGGACACGUAGCUCAUGAUUGAGCCGUGUUUCCUUAGGAGGCUUUUGCUGUUUUUGGAGGACUGUGAUCUUGCCCACAGUGGCUUGAUAUGCUCUGACCCUGAAAGGACAGAGGGUUUUUGUGAGGUUGUAUAGAACAGGAUGUCAAAGAGGACUGAAACCCAAAGGAGACCGGAAUGCUUCCUGUGCCGUCCCACUGACAACCAGAGACUGGGUUUGGGGAUCACUGGCUUCGGGUGAGGGUGCUUGCUGUCCUGCAGACUGUUCUGGAUUUGGCCUUGGAAUUGGCGUUUUUAUAAAAUCUCCAGGAGACUCUGAUAUACAUGAUUUGCAAAACUGCACACUUUGUGAAGCAACACUGCCCUAAGGUAACAACACCUGAAGGCUAACGUUGACUGAGGAGACCUCAGCGUGAGCUCUGGAAGGCUUGGACAUGCAUCUCUGAUCAUUGAAGAUUCACAUGAAGUUGUAAGAAAUCUUGCAGGGAGAUCCCCUCCCACCGCAGGAGUAGUGUCUUGACAAAGCCAUAAUGCAGUCUCCUGGCCAGGAUGUUGGCAUCGACCCGGUCCAGACAGGGAACAUCUGCCACCAGAAGGGUCCCGCCUGCUGCCUUUCACAGCCAAAUCCACUUCGCUCCCACCCCAGUGGCUCCUUAGCCCUUGGCAGCCACUGAUCUAUUCUCCACAUCUAUAAUCUUGUCAUCUCAAGAAUGUCAUGAAAAUGAAUCAUACAGAAUGUUAACUUUUGCGAUUGGUUUUCUUGACUCAGCAUGAUUCUCUGCACAUUCACUCGGAUUCUUGAGUGUGUCAAUAUUUUGCUCCUGUUUAUUACUGAGUAGUAUACAAUAGAUAUUUAUAUUUAUAACCCAAAAAUGUUUCAUCUUAAUGCCACAUAAGACGAUGGAGACAGCAACAUCACACUAUUUACCCGAAGUUGGCAGCAAAACCUACAUCUCCUGCACGCUUCUGUCCAAGGUAAUUUCUUUGUGCUCUCUAAUCUCCUUUAUCUAAGAGCCAGGUUAUUGGAGAAUGAAUGCCAACAGCCCUGCUAUUUCUGUUUUGCAACCUGCCACCUCUUUGCCAGGGUCUAUGAGCACAAUGCCAGCAUGAAUGGUGAGGAAUGUGAGGUGGGUGAGGAAAGGCAAAUGUCAGGAGGAAAAUGCACAUCUUGAAAGAGGAUCUUGCGAGGGCUCCCCAGGUGGCUCGCCGAAUGCCUGUUACAAAGGCCAGACAGGAAGCUGUGCCGGUUCUCAGAUCACGGGCGUCCUGGUGCAGUCGGGGCUGAUUGUCAGGAGGUGGAUUUGAGUGCAAGCUCCACGGCAUGCUCUAAGACAUCAUGUACCUAUUGUAACAAUUCUCAAGGCACUUCGGAAAAACACCUGACUUGCAACUCCCAAUCGUCCUAUGAGAAAGAGUACGAAGUAGCUUUUCUUAUUUUAAAGGUGAUAAAAAUUAGUCAGUACAUUUCCUUGUUUGCGUGAGGAAGGAAGACGUGGGAUUACAUAGACAAUGAUGCAGAUAAAUCUUCUGAUAUUUAGCUCAAUAUUUAUUUUUCCAUUACAACUACUUGCUUGCCAAAAUGUCAUCGUCUAGAGUAUCCUGACACUAAAUAAUUGUCUUUUCUAUGGAAAAUCAGAGAGCAAUGACCAGAUGUGAAAUUUUAAAUUGAAAAGAAGCAAAGAAACAUAGAGUUAUUUGAAGCUGAAAAGGAGAGAGCUAUAAGAAAAAAUAACCAAUUAAAUGUAAACACUCAAAUUUGUCUCCAUGAGUUUAGGUACCCUCCCCUUUUUUUGUGAGUUUUCUCACUACAAUAUUCCAGUGCCUAUCACAGUACGUAGUCAGGUAUGUGGGAGCAUAUUAAUAAAU